rnacentral:lncRNA from 1 species
GGCUGGGAUAUGGAGGGGAUUCAGUGAGGAAGAGGAGCCUCAUAUAAGGGGUAGGCACACACUCACCCCCCACCCACGACUGGAGGGUGGCUCAUGCCUGGAAUCCCAGAACUUUGAGUAGAGCAAAGGGGAGGAUCACUUGAGCCCAGGAGUUCGAAACCAGCCUGGGCAACAUAGUGAUACCCCGUCUCUGCAAAAUUUUUCAAAUUAGCCAGGGUGGCAGUCCACGCCUGUAGUCCCAGCUACUCAAGAGGCUGAGGAGGGAGGAUCGCUUGGGCCCAGGAGUUCAAGGCUGCAGUGAGCUAUGAUCCCACCACUGCAAUCCAGCCUGAGCAACACAGCAAGACCCUAUCUCCAAAAUUUAAAAAAAGAGGAGGGGGCUUACUGAGAUGUGUGGUGGAGAGGUGGAGACCCCGCUGCUGACCGAGGAUGCUGAUGUGGGCCUGGAGUACGCGCCCUUUGAUGAUGACGACGGCCUGGUGGACUGUGACUCCCGGCCGCCUGCUACCAUGGCCACUGCAGGUACAGGACCAAGCACUGGUCUAGCAGUUCGGCAUCGCUCCCUCCCAAGAAAAAGAAGAAAAAGAAAGGCGGCCACGGGAGAAGCAGAGCCAGACUCACUGACCCGGCCCAUGUGUUACCAGCUCCCAAGGAAGGAGACCACUACUACUGCUGCUGCCCUCCUCCCCCUACCUUGCCUAGUUCACAAGACAGGAGUAAAGAGAAAGAAACAAAAGAUAAAUAGCCAGACAACCUUGGCACCACCACCCCGCCCUAGGAGUUAAACAAAGUAAUAAUAAUAACAUCAACCCCUGGCCUAAACUACUUGUGUUAUCUGUAAAUUCCAGACACUGUAUGAAAAAAGCAUUGUAAAACUUUGUUAGCUGAUGCAUGUAGCCCCCAGUCACAUUUCCCACGCUUGCUCGAUUUAUCACGACCCUUUCACAUGGACCCCUUAAAAGGCCUAGUAUUUAAAAAGGCCUAGUAUUUCUUUCUCGGGAAGCUGGGCUCUUAAGACGCGAGUCUGCGGACACUCCCGGCCAAAUAAAAAACCUCUUCC